GUCGUGAGAUGUUGGGUUAAGUCCCGCAACGAGCGCAACCCUCGUCCUAUGUUGCCAGCACGUAAUGGUGGGGACUCAUAGGAGACUGCCGGGGUCAACUCGGAGGAAGGUGGGGAUGACGUCAAGUCAUCAUGCCCCUUAUGUCCAGGGCUUCACGCAUGCUACAAUGGCCGGUACAAAGGGCUGCGAAACCGCAAGGCAGAGCGAAUCCCAAAAAGCCGGUCUCAGUUCGGAUUGGGGUCUGCAACUCGACCCCAUGAAGUCGGAGUCGCUAGUAAUCGCAGAUCAGCAACGCUGCGGUGAAUACGUUCCCGGGCCUUGUACACACCGCCCGUCACGUCACGAAAGUCGGCAACACCCGAAGCCGGUGGCCCAACCCUUGUGGAGGGAGCCGUCGAAGGUGGGGCUGGCGAUUGGGACGAAGUCGUAACAAGGUAGCCGUACCGGAAGGUGCGGCUGGAUCACCUCCUUUCUAAGGAGCAUGUUGGCGGCCUCCUGGGGCCGUCCAGUCGUCGCUGCUCGAGCGUACGUCUCGAGGCGACGAUGCUCACUAGUGGAACGUCGACUAGUUGGCACUCAUGUCUGACGAUCUCGGUCAGUACUCCUGGCGCAGCCAGGGUGGAACCCCCGAGUGAGGGACCUGAGUGCCUAGCACGCUGUUGGGUCCUGAGGGAUCGAGCCGGUCGGCACGCCCUCUGGACCAUCCUCCCGCCGAACGACUCACCCUGCUGGGGCAAGUGCCCUGGUUCGGGAGCACGCGGCGACCCAGUGGGAUGGAUUCCGCCCGUACCUUGAGAACUUCAUAGUGGACGCGAGCAUCAAAGUAAGAUCUCUUUGUAGUGACAAGCUACUAAGGGCACAUGGUGGAUGCCUUGGCAUCAAGAGCCGAAGAAGGCCGUAGGAGCCUGCGAAAAGCCCCGGGGAGUUGGCAACCGAGCUGUGAUCCGGGGAUUG
rnacentral:sRNA from 1 species